AAAAUGCAGGACAUCUGAUCUUAUUCCUAGCCUGAACGAAUUCUUCCACUGCCGUCGACGAGGUCUUACACAAAAGCAUCAGUUGAUAUCGGAAAAUAAUGCAUGGUCGAGAUACAAGAUGAAGGUGUUAUUAGUUACCAUCGUACUUUGUCUGGUCGUGUCAACAUUAGCCUAUCCAAACAGGGUGGCAAGAACAAGUGGAAGUGAGCUAUCAA